UAAUUGAGUUUUUUUCCCACAUUAUGUAAUUUUACAUACUUAAAGAAAAAAGGAAAAAAAAAGACAUGUCUAAACAAUUUAUUAAACAUACUCUAAAAAUAAAAGGCAAUUUAAACUUAUAUAUAUUUUGGUCAUUAUAUAAUAAAAUAGUACUUUCGUAAUAAAGUUUACUAAACACAUAUGCUCUACUUUUCAAACUUAUAGUGACCACAACAACACACUUUAUCAAACACUAAACUGCUAAUUUAAUAAGUUGUUUAUAUCAUCCGCAUAGCAAAAGUAACUCAUUUAAUCAGCCACCGCAAUCCCAACCUAACCCAUAGACUAGUUUAUCAAGCUUAUAAAUCACAUUUAAUUUAUCAAUAAUUUAAGGAAUUCUAAUAUUUGAGUUCCAACUUGAAUCGAUUAAGGAUUUUAUGACUUAUAAAAUUACUUAACCACCAAUCAAUGAAUAAAAACAUAUAAAUUGAGAAUCAAAUUAAAACUUGAAUAUCGGGAUACCUACCAAUACCAUUGCUCUUAAUUUAUUGCCAUAGAAGCGAACUGUCAUCAUCUUGAUAUUUUGGAGAGGAAUCAACGGCUCACUUGAAACAAGUUGUAUACGAAGGUGCAGCUUGCAUAGAUGGAAAAUGUUCACACAGAGCAAUAUGGUCAUUUGGACACCAAAAAGUAACAUUAAUUGUGGUUCAUAAGUUUGAAAAUUCUUGGUGGCUUACUCAGACCACCAACUCCUUAAAACUAAUGUAAAUGGAGAUAAGAAAGUACUAUUAUAUUUCAUCAUAUCCUUUUCAAUAAAUAAUCCUCUAUCAUUUCGCUCAGUACGAAAAAAAAUGGGCUCUAAGUUUUCCUUGUUUUCGGUCUUUUAAUGGCUAUUGUGUUCGUUCUUAUCGCUUCAAGGGUGGCGGCUAGAGGCCUGGCUGAGAGUUCCGCUUACAAGCAAAAUGCUGAGCUUAUAAAUAUAGGUUCCAGUACUUGCUAUAUAUCUUCUUAAUUUAGAUUAGCAGUAAUGGUGAGCAUACAAUAAUUAGAUCAAUUUUGUUUUCAUAUAUAUUCCAACGUAUAUAGCAAUAUUAUGUGCUUUAAGUUGGAUUUUAUUAAAACACAAUUUUAAAUCAGGACAGAAGAAUCGUUGUCCAUAAUAAUAUUUUAAUUACUGAUAUAAUAACUAAUACACCAAAAAUGACAUGAUGCUAUUUACAUGAUGCCAAGUACAGUGAAAAUCCUCCUCUGACUUACGGGGUACUGCCAAGCCCUGGAGGUACGGCGGUGGCUGCUGUAACAGCCCCAACGUUUGAUGUGGUGGUGGUUGAAGGACAACAUUUGUCCAUGAGGUUCCUAAAAACGCAACUUUUACGCAGUAAAAUUGCAACGGAUGGUGGAAACUCUAGAAAUCUCGGAUCGACUUCAUUCAAAAACAAAAAUCAAGAGGAAAGAUUAAAGUUUAUUUACCUCAUUUGUAGUUUCAGAAACAACUUCGUGAGGUAGGAGAAAAUGACUGAAAACAGCAAGGUACGAACACUGUCCAGGAAAUAGACCAUUGCACGAACAGCUUCUGUUUUUGCACGAUUUGAGAUACUUAAAGCACCCCAAUUGUGAUGCCUCUAAUGAGUCCACACUUAGAAAUGUUCUAGGAGUUCAUAGGAUUUGGAAUCACCAAAUUUCGUUUAGAAAUGAGAGAGAUAAUGAAGAAACAUGAAUGAUAGUUUAUAAUAAUUCAUUCCACCAAAUAAAGCCACCAUUAUCUUUUAAAUAAUGACACCAAACAUUAUCAUGAGCUAGACCCACCCAGUAAGCCAUUCUUUAUUGAAUGUGAUCUUAGCACUUCAAUAAUUUAUUUAAUCAAAUUAAUUUUAAAUAAAUAAAUAGUUAAAUUAAUUAAUUUUGUUUUUAAUUAAUUAAGCCCAUUUUGAUCAAAUCAAAUGGUUAAUUGUGGGCUUCUUUUGUGACAUGUUCUUAUGGCUUUUCCUAAUCCAUAUUAGGUCCAAUAAAAGCCCAAAAUUCUAAACCCAAAAUUGAUCUAGAAGUCCAUAAUCAUUUAUGAACCGAAACACGUCUAAUAUGACCAUUUUACUUGCUCGAUCUUGUACAUAAUGUUUAAUUGAGGAUUUAUGAAAUUUAUUUUGUUCCAUAAACUAUUUAUGAAACAUCUAAAUUUCAAUCUCAAAUCAUAGUUUAGAUAUAUAUAUUUAUUCUUAAUGAAUUAUAAUAUAAUGGUGCGUUUACUUCAUGGAAUGAGAAUGGGGUGAAAUGUGAAUGAGCUGGGAAUGAGAAUGAGAAUGGGCAUGAGCUGGAAUGGGAAUGAGGAAUAAGAAUAAAAUUCUAAUGUUUACUUGACAAAAAUAAAUGGGAAUGAGAAUGUGCUGGAAUUCCAUUGAUGUGUUUACUUGGCAAAAUAAAUGGGAAUGAGGAAUGAGAAUGAGAAUGAGAAUUAAUUUACCAAAAUAUCCAUAGUAUUAAAUAAUGUAAUUUUCAUUAACUAAAUACAUGUAUAAAUAUUAUUA
rnacentral:lncRNA from 1 species